UGAGGGGAAGGGGGGGAGCUGGCGGCCGUCGCCAUGUUGGUGGCGCGGGAUUGCUUUAGCGCAGGAGGAGCGGCCGCGAGCCGGGUUAAGAUGUCGGGAAAGGGGGAGAGCGGGAGCUGGGCGGUCGCUCCGAGGUGGUGUGGAGGGUUGGAAGCGGAGGAGCAGGCCGCCGUGGCGGCUCGCGGAGGGCUCCGCGCGGCUUUCUGCUGCAGCCCGCAGCGGGGCCCUGAGGCGGAGCGGCGCCCCCCGAGCUGAUUCCUGUGAAAUAAAGUGCUUUAUUCCUUCAAGAAGAUACUCCACUGAGAGGAGCUGGAGAGUUUCAUAGGCUCCCUGGAAGUACGGGCCAAAUCCCAAUAGUGGUGUAGGUCAGGAGAAAGGAUUUAAAAGUUUUUCUUUCUAAGGUAUUUUGGCUCCUCCUGGAGGUAAGUGCAGUGAAUUUCUCAGGAUCACACCUCACAAUAACUACACAGGUAUGGUGGUCUGUCUUCCCCACGGUGCAGUCAGAUGGUGGAGAAGGACUGUCAUGAGGCGUUAAGUAAUUCACAUCACAAAACCUAAACCUCAGCGUUUUUCAAUAUUUGUCGGUGUUGUAGCAAUACUUGCCAUUCUUCUGUCUCUUUAAAUUCACAUCCCUUUUGUCAACGAAUCUGAGCCAGAGUUUUGCCUUCACCACCCUCCCGCAAAGGGCCAGGUGUCUUAGGACAGCACAUGCACCUCACGUACCUUCUGCCCACCCCCACCUUAUCCAGUUUUGCUGCAUUCAUCACAGAAGAAGAGAGUGUAAUGCUCUGUUGCCACUAUAACUUCCAGUUACAGUUUCAUACGUCUGAAGAAUUUUGAAUUAAAAGCAUUGCUCUCUUUGUUUUAUUUCUGUGUGGGUACUUCUAGCUUUGUUGGGGGGGGGAGCAGGCAGUGUUAUGUGUCAGAACAGUUGCUGUCCUUAAACUUUAAAGCUAAGCCUAUGCUUCUGUUUGUGCAGCUGAUACCAAGUAAUGAUGGUCAGUAGUGUGACAGGGUGUGUGUCUUUUCUAUAAAUGGUAGAAGACAUGGAUAUGAAGUUGUCUAGGCUAACUGCCUAGUGACUACAUGCUUUGCUUUUAUGCGCGAAGUAUCGCUGGAUGUCACCUGCACUCAUUCUUUCUCUUCCUUCCCCCAUCUUGUUUCUGUGCUGCUGCUCUGUGGAGGAGGCAGGGAUCCUGCUUUACAGACAAAAUUACUUCAGUGUUUUACCACGUGCCUUUAUCCGAUAAUGUAGAUGCUGCUGAUGUCUGCCACGUCAAGCAUUCCUUUCGCUACGUAUUCACCGAGACAAGUAAAAGAGUUUCCUGUGUUGUGUAGUUCACUUUCAUGAGUUUGGGGGACCCAAUAUUUGUCAGGGUCUAGAUUUUACUGGUCAUAACGUAGAAGAUUGUAAUUUUAAAACCUGUGUUAUCUCAAACCUAGAUAAUCUUUUUACACUGUUCGUCUGGAAAUGCUUGUACCCGCUUACCUUCUGACCCAGAUGGUCUUAAUUGCAAGAUUAAGAAGCUUAUAGCCGUACUGCAGAAAUAAGCACUGCCUCAACGUUUCAUGACUUCAAGUGACAAAAGAACUGAAGGGCUGCCUUUGCUAUGUUUUAAAUACAUGCAUAUACUCUGGGUUUCAUGCAGUUUAUGAAAGGUGCUUCAAGUAUUUGUAUGGUCCUGAGCCCGCUAAGCUGUGGUGUUUGUCUGUACUUCGCCGUGCCAGCACCCUACGCUGCAGAAAUGACGAGUUUUCCUUGUUGCAAAAAUGAUUUUGGUCCCAGUGCGCUCAGGUAAGCAAGCACUCUGUGUCUGGUGAAUCAGGAGAAGCAGCUGGAAGUCGUGGAAGAGGGUGCAGAGAAUGAGUAGGAACGUGUGAUGUGUUUGCCUUCUUUCUUCAGAGAAGCAAUUAGUUACACGUUUGUAUGUUUUCCUUGCUUUCAUCACAGUAAAUUCUUGCUCCUAAUUAAAACCCGAAAGAAUUUGUUGCUGUAAAUUCAGCCUUCACUGGAUAACGUACUGGAAACAUGGCUACAAUCUGCAUGAGAAAUGCACACCUUUACAAGAUGGAGUGUAAAAGUGUUCCAGGGGAACUUAGAAGGCGUUUUGUUCUUGUGGAGUCACCAUCCGUGUCAGCACAGCUCGCAGAACUGUCAGGAUGUUUGGCUUCUCUCAGUUUGCGUUAAUUGUUGGUCCUAUGUAAUUGCCAGCGUGCAAGUCAACUGGGUGGGAAGGUUUUCGUAAUGGCUUCUAAAGAUGACACACGCGAUCUCUAUUUGUCUUGGCGUGUAAAUAAGCUUUAAAAUUCCACUUUGUUUGUUGUCUGCAGUCCCUGUGGAUGAAAGGGGAGAGCUGUAGCGUCACAGGCACGCUGCUGCCUUUAGGGCCUGUGAAAAACACAGGUACAGACGCAUUGAAAUGGCUGCUCUGAGCCUGACGUUGGAGAAGCUGCUGUGAUGGUUUCCUUCUGUAAGGACGUGCCAAAAUGCUUUGUGGAGAGGUAACAGCUUCAAGGUGAGAGAGUGGAUUCACCUGGGUGGAGUAGGUAAGUAGCUCCGUAUGGUGCUUCCAAGUAUCUUAAUGAUAACAAUUCAGGGAAAUGAAAUAUUGGUUCUUCAAGCAGUGAAAACUUGAGAAAACACAGGUGAGAAUGGAAGGGUUCUGUAUGUUUGUAAGUGUUCAUAAAUGGAGCUGUAGGGAAUGGUUAAAUUUCUGGAAGACCCGAGGGUUUCUGUGUUAACUUCUGUUUUCCUGUUUUUCAGCACAAGAGGAGCCUCUUCGGGUGUCAUGGGCACGUUCUGCAGUUCAGUAGCAGUUACACGACAUGGGCUGGGGGUGCACAGGCUACUGCAAGUCCUGGCUCGCAGGAACUGGUUUUGAGAGAAAGGAAACCUCAGGGUUUUUUUGGAACUUCCGUGAAUUUAAGCGAGGACUCAUUGGCGAUAGUGAAACAGGAAGUUACCUCUAUUUUUGGCACUGGACGGGGAUUAGGAUAGUGAACUUAAUAUUUGCUAAUCAGGGCAGUGUGACAGGCCUUGGCGGAAUCGCAUGCGGUCUGCGUCCAGGAGAUUGCAGUUGUGGGGAAACUCACUUUCCCAGCUAGCAACGGGAGAAACUUCCUGAGCAGUGGGAACGGACGAACGUUCUGCUUCUCAGCUGAGUGGAGGUGGUUCUCUUGAGACCAUAAGUACAACCACGCAGUCCAGCACUACCCAAAGAGCUUUCGUCUUGGUGGAAUGAGACAAUAUUUUGUGGUUUAAAAAGUAAUCGUAUUGCUUGGCCCACCCAGCUCCCGCAGAGCUGUGAGGACUGGAGCCCUGCACUGAAGGUGUGCCUUCACACACCCAGCUGACUUGGCCGGGGGCCCGGGCUGGCUGUAAGCUCUGUGGUUGGCUGUGUCCCAGCUUUCACGUACCCAGCAAGAACCCCAGCACUUCUGAGUAGAACAAGUUAAUGCUUGGGAUGCUCUGGUGUAGCUGUGGUUUGUGCGUGCUGCGCUCAUUAGCACGACUUGAUCGCAGCUUGGGUUGUCCAAAGCAAGUCGGCUUUUGAGGUUUGCUGGCUGCAAGCCCCGCUCUGUUGCCUGUAGACCUGGGAAGAAGCUCUGUUUCUGUUGUGCAGUGAUGAACCUGGGUUUGCACCAUGUCUCACUGGGGAGCCCAUGUGCACAUCCAUGCCACACAAGCAGUCCAUGAGCUGACAAAUCCUUAAGCCAAUCUUCACGCUUUUGAAAAAUGAGGGGUGAGGGGAUAGGUAGGGAUUCUUCCUUUCAUGAAUCACAAACUACCGAAAUCCAAAGCUCACUGGAAGUAACUUUUUAGAGAAGUACAUUUUAGGAAACUGAAAGGUAUGAGUAAGGCAGCGUGACCCUUCUGUUAACUGCAGACUUCCAGUGCUGCUCCUUGUCCCUCAUGUGGUUUGCAGAAAAAAUGGACGUGGGUAAUAUAGAGGUAAAACUUAGAGCUGGCAUAUUGUGUCAAGUCAUGCACUGCUAUAAGGAAGUCCUGCAAUGAAACUACUGAUGCCUGAGUCCCUGGUUAUGGGGAAUAGUGUGCUCACGUUCUCUGGCUUUCAGAUGCAGUGGCACAAAGUUACGUGUUGGUUUUGGUGCGAUUCAGCUGAAAACCCAAACUUUUGCAUUGUGAGUGAGUUAACAGCAAAGCAGUCAGAGCAUUCCUUAACACACACAAGCCAUUUCCUUUUGGAUAACAGCGCAAUGUGAAAAGGCACCCAGCUGCUGGGAGCUGUUACUUGAUAGCAUCUCCUGUGCUGGAAUCCCCUGAUUUGCUGCUCCUCCCUUUGACAGAGUUUUCCCAGUUUUUGUUUGGUAUGUUGUCACUCAUUGACUAUUUCCCACCUCGUCACGUACUCGACUAUUUUGUGUGUGGUUUUGCCAUUUCUCUGCAAAUACCUCUUCCUGGAAAACAACGACAGUGAGUAGCUCACACUGCUGGGCAAGUUUCCAUUCCCAUGGUUUCACUUGCUCCAUGCUGUCCAGUUACUUACAUGCAGCAUCCUAAGCAUCUGAUUUAGUGGAAUGCUAGUAAGCGCUGACCUUUGUGUCUGGCCUCAGUCCAUGUAGGUCAGGUUUACACAGGCUGCUUCCUACAGUGAAUUCAGUACCUACUGCAGCCCUUGGUUGCACUAUUUCAUGAAAGGACAGUGUUAUCUGCUCCUGCAGAAACUACAGGAAGGACAUGCUAGGGUCAGUCACUUAAACCCAGAUCUGUUCUGAACCUUGCUCCUGCACACACAAGCCCUAGGGCUCUCAAGUGAAAGGGAUUAUCACAUCUGAGCAGCUCUGCUGUGCUUCAGUAUAGGAGGGAGAUUUCAAAACUAGCACAGAUGUUUGACGUUGACCAUUUAUAUUACCUCUCAAAACAGCUGCUGUCUUAUUCCCCAGUUCUCAAUUUGUCUAUACCAGAGCCGCCCUGUACUCAGAUCAUUCAAGGCAUGACUCCCCAGGCUUUGAGUUCCAAGCACUCAGCUGUGAGAUGCGGGCUGGGUGGCACAGCUCACUGAAGGAGCUCAGUGUUGUUAUCUUCGCCCUUUGCACUCCUGUACCGCACUGCACAGUUCCCUGGUGUGCCAGCAGGCCUGUGUGCAGCAGCAGAGUGAUAGCAGUCUGUUACACCCCCAGCCCCGUGGCUGCUUUUCUUUAGCCCAAGUUGGAAGCAUAGGAGGUUUGUGUGACCUCUCCAAAAGCCUGGAGGGAGUCAGCGAGGUGAUCGAGAGCACUUGCAACAAGGCAGUAAAAGGUGGUGAUUGGACACGCAGCACAAGCCAGUCCUUGGGCUGCUGCAGCCUCCAUCUCGUUAAACCAUGCACCUCAAGAUGUGGUUUGUUCUGUAGGGGAGGAGUAGCAAUGCAUCCCUUGUGUACGUGGUUGUUAACGGUGUUUUUUUCUGCUUUAGGUCUCUGAUGCACAAGUGCCGAAUGUUUUGGUCCCUUCUGACCAGGCUCGAGGAACCCUGAAAGCUGUGAGCAGCAUUGGUGGUGCUAGGUGUAGUCAAGACAGGUGAUGGGAGAGCUCGAGUAAGACGUGGAGCAGGUUUCCCAAAGCUCUGACUUUUUAACUGUUACAGAGGGUACACGUUUAUUCUAUGAUGCAGUUAAUUUCUUACAGUUAAGGAUUUACAUGCUACAUCUGCACAUCUAGCCAAAUACAGCUUUUCUUUUUAAUGGCAAAGGAGAUUUGCACAAAGAGAAUUGGGCACUCAGCCAUUUCACAUAUAGGACAGGUGUUUUCCAUGUCAGUGUUUUUGCAGUGUGCUCUGGUAAGAGUGCAGUCAGCCUCAGCACAGUGCAAUUCCUUACUGUGCAAAUGUGAUCUACUAUCUCCGCUCUGGCAGUGGUGAAUCGUGUCCUCUGUGAGCCUGUGGUUUCACUGUAGUGAUUCUGCUUUAGUCGUUUUUUAGUUGCACAGCCAGGUGGGUGCUGCAUGUCACUUGGGAUGUGGAACUGUGUGUCAUUAACGAGUUCGUCCCAGUGAAGUCCAUUAACCCCUCUGCAGAUCCCUGCCUGCUACGAGCUCCUCUCAGGUCUUGGGUAGCGGGGUGACCACUGGCCCAAUCCUACCUGCUGUAUAUUUCUGUAUUUAUAUGUUAUAUAUUGCCUGUAUGUCUUGAUCCAAUUUUAACUUCAUACAAAUCAGUAAGCCAAGGGGGUCAAGGCAAAAUAGAGAAGGGCGAUGUGUUGCUGGCAGAGACCUGGAAUGGAGUGGCAAUUCCCUGCUGAGAACAGCUCGGAGGUGUCGCAGUCAGUACAGUUUGUGUGAAUGUUUCUGCUUUGUUAAAGUUUUUAAUCCCACCUGUCUUCCUGACUCUCGUUUCUGAGAAGGUUCUUUGGCUGUGGGUUAACCUUGUCAGGAGAACCAAGGCAGAUGCAGUGCUUGGCGACGGGAGCAGGUAUGUGCGGGGGCUCUCACAAGUUUCUGUCAGCACCUCAGCUGUGCAGCUCUCCUUGAUGGACGAUGUUGCUGCAGUUAGUUCUUCAUUAUCUGAAGGUAAAUGUAGACACAAGUCAGGACAGCCAAGAUGUUGGCUUGGAAUAUGCUUGCCUUCCUGUAACCUCAGUCAUGCACUCUGCUGUGGGUAGUUCUGCCUCUUAGCCACAGUCAGUUUCCCAGUCUUAUUCCUCCCGAAGCCAGCGUGCAGCUGAAUUUUCCCAGUGCUUAGGUAGGUCUUUAAAUGCACGUUCUCCAGGCAGUGUGUAUCGCUGUGGGGCACAACAGGAUGGCUGCCCUGGGCUGCCUGGAACUCAUUCCUCAGCAAGCAGUGGCGUGGUGGUGAAUACGAAGUGUUCCUUUGCUCGUGUCCAGCACCCAUGAAGGGCUUCUGGAGUUGUCACCAUUUUCUUUCUAGAUAACACCUCGGCUGUCCGUGUGUAUUCUGUUCUGUAGUAGCUCCCUGUCAGCUAUACACAGCACACUCAGUACUCUCUGUGUGCACGAGGGCCCUAGCGUAAUUCCACAUUUGUCCGGCCGUUUGGAGCUGGUGACUCCACUGGCUGCGCUCCUCCAACCGCUGCAUCCCAUCAUUCUAGGAAAGAAAAAAAGGAAGGUUGGAUGCCUUGGGAUCAAAUGUUCUUCUUGAGCCUGAGUGUGGAAAUCUUGCAUUAUAGGAUUUUGAAAUCUUUUGCCAAGCAAGAAGGCUCUGAGCUUGUGACACGAAUUGGCUCUACUCUUUUUCACACAGUCCUUGAGAGAGGUGUGGAGGGCAAAAAAGUUUGAUCCAUUCUUACUUUUUAGUCAGUGUUUGAGUUAAGAAUCUGUAGAGAAGCCUUCCAUUUUGCGCCAUCAUUUUUAUGCAAAGGCCAAUAAAUGACAUUUCUUAGGCA